rnacentral:rRNA from 1 species
AGUGAACGCUGGCGGUAGGCCUAACACAUGCAAGUCGAACGGCAGCACAGUAAGAGCUUGCUCUUACGGGUGGCGAGUGGCGGACGGGUGAGGAAUACAUCGGAAUCUACUUUUUCGUGGGGGAUAACGUAGGGAAACUUACGCUAAUACCGCAUACGACCUACGGGUGAAAGCAGGGGAUCUUCGGACCUUGCGCGAUUGCAUGAGCUGAUGUCGGAUUAGCUAGUUGGCGGGGUAAAGGCCCACCAAGGCGACGAUCCGUAGCUGGUCUGAGAGGAUGAUCAGCCACACUGGAACUGAGACACGGUCCAGACUCCUACGGGAGGCAGCAGUGGGGAAUAUUGGACAAUGGGCGCAAGCCUGAUCCAGCCAUACCGCGUGGGUGAAGAAGGCCUUCGGGUUGUAAAGCCCUUUUGUUGGGAAAGAAAAGCAGCAGGUUAAUACCCCGCUGUUCUGACGGUACCCAAAGAAUAAGCACCGGCUAACUUCGUG